rnacentral:snoRNA from 1 species
CACUUAAUGAUGAUAAGUUUAAUCAUAAGUAAAUAAUUGCUGAUUUACAACUUAAAAUUUGAACCAAAAGGAUUCUGAUGCUCUAAAUG